rnacentral:rRNA from 1 species
UCGCGUAAUCAUGGGGGGUCAUACCUGCACAAUGGCCUACGGGUUUAAUUGCCGCGGUAACCUGACCGUGCAAAGGUAGCGUAAUCAAUAGCCUAUUAAUUGUUGGCCUGUAUGAAUGGUUUUACGCUGGUAGCGCUGUCUCAGUGGUAUUAAUUUGAAUUUAACUUUUGGGUGAAAAGGCCCAAAUAUAUCUGAAAGACGAUUAGACCCUAUCGAACUUUGGGUAGAGACUUUACCAGGACCCUGAAAAGGGUUCUUGGAUAGAGCUUGAAACCUUUGGUUGGGGUAACCGGGGGUUAAAAAAAACGCCCCCUCCCAUCGUAGUGAAGCACCCGUUAUGAUAAGGGUAGAUAGAAUUCUACCCCCAGGGCAAUUGGCCUCAGGAAAGUGAAGUUUUAGUUAAAAUAAGGGAGCGACAGCUCAUAAAUUACUUGUAGAAUGAACCUAAAGAUUUGUUUUAAACAGAGAUCUGUUAAUAGGGAAGAGUUACCGUAGGGAUAACAGCGUAAUCUUCCCGGCGAGACCACAUUAAGGGGAAGGUUUGCGACCUCGAUGUUGGCUUAGGGCUUCCCAGAAGUGCAGUAGCUUCUAAG